UCCUCCCUCUCUCUAAAUUCCCUUCUGCUAAAAUUUUACCCAGCUCUAAAUGUCUCAAAUAAAGAUGUGAAUCUUAUUUAUCAGGAAUGCAAAGAAAAAUCAUACAGAAAGACUCAUUUGAAGCCUAUUUGGUGUUGUUAUUGUUGAUUUUCAGUCUUGACAGGACUCUCACCUAUCUAUUUUUUGGAAUCAGCAGGGAAGUAAAGUCAGUACUUGAGUUGCAUGGAUCAGAAGUUGCACGAAGAACGUGAAAUGGCUACUGAGUUGAAAAGGAAUAUGGAACUUGAGUUGCAAAGGAAGUUGGAGCACGAGUUGUUGAGUAAGUUGGCAGAGGAGCGUGAACUCGUGAAUGUAGAAGUAGAGAAGAGGAUCCAUCUAGAAGUGGUAAAGAAGAUGGAAGAACAAUUUGCUACUUUCAUGACCAGAAUGCAACAGAUACAAGGUACUUUAACAAUAGUGUCGUUCAAAGAUGGUGUCGACCCAGGAGCAACUACGAGGCACUUAAUAUUUUGUUUAUUUUGGGGUCAUAUGUAUAUGCGUA